GGGGGUGAUCGGUUUCGACGUUGAUUGCCGUUGUAGGGGAAGCGGGUCGAGGAAGCACGGUUAUCUCGUUAACGCUCCGUGCACAACCAAUAGGUGCCAACUCCAAGCGCACCGACUUCGCCCUCGCCGCCUGAGCGAGCCUCGAAGUCCGUCAGCCUGAGCUAGUUCUCGACUCAGUGUCUGGCGUCAGCUAGAGAACUUGCUGCGUCGUCACGCCGAGGGGCGACGCGGGACUCUUACUCGGCUGGGCCUGUCAGGGAACGUGUGCGUGCGAGCCCUGGGGCCGAGAAAAUCCUCAAGCGCACUGCACCCGGAGAAGCCCUACUUCGUGGUCAGCGGACGCGGGUUCGAUUCCCGCCACCUCCACGA
rnacentral:tmRNA from 1 species